rnacentral:rRNA from 1 species
UACGUAGGGCGCAAGCGUUGUCCGGAAUUAUUGGGCGUAAGAGCUCGUAGGCGGCCUGUCGCGUCUGCUGUGAAAUCCCGGGGCUUAACCCCGGGCGUGCAGUGGAUACGGGCUGGCUGGAGGCAGGCAGGGGAGAACGGAAUUCCCGGUGUAGCGGUGAAAUGCGCAGAUAUCGGGAGGAACACCGGUGGCGAAGGCGGUUCUCUGGGCCUGUUCUGACGCUGAGGAGCGAAAAGCGUGGGGAGCGAACAGG